GCGCUCGCUUUGGCAGCACAUAUACUAAAUUGGAACAAUGCAGAGAGGAUUUAGCAUGGCCCCUGCACAACGAUGAUGACAAUUUUGUGAAGCUUUUUUACCGUAUUUUU